UAUGUGUUAUGUUGAUAUGCUGCCGAAUAGCGGCGUGUCGCACAAUAGAAACCCUACCUGCACCACAUACUCCUGUCAACCGGCCCUCCCAACUCCACCCGGCCAAUCACCAUGCCGCUUUCAAGCUGUUGACAUCUUUUCCGGUGUUCUGAAUCCUCUGUGUGCGAUAACGUUAGGUGUAAUCUGACAUCUUUUCUGGUGUUGUGUCUCCCCGUGUCUCCGGCUUAUAUACACAUAAAUCCAUGAACCGGCGAAUCUUCUUGGAAAACAUGACUCUCCUCCGUAUGCCAUAACGUUAGUUUAAGUUGCUGGCAAGAGCCGUGAAGUUGCAUUUUAUCUAUGAAGAUUAUACUGGGGAUUUCCAUAUUAAAACACACAUAGUGCUCGAGAUGGUAAGGAACGCUUCAACAAUAGGCGUUUAGGGGGAUGAUUCAGAUGGUAGUAUUCCACAGUGGGCAAAACUGUUUGAUCAUGCACAAAAGCCAAUUUCAAUUGUAGAGCUUGAACUUGAGCUUAUCAAAGUCGCCGCCAUCAACGUCGCCUCCUUGGCGCCCAUGUCGUUGCUGCUGACAUUGUGCGUGCUUUUCAUGUGGUUGGAGGUGGCGCCGCCUUUCUAUAUAUUAUAGGAGCCGUUCCGAAUUGGGAUUGAUUUUGGAACAAAGGAAGGCUUCUACAGCGUAGAACAUGUGGUUGGAGGUGAUGCCGUCUUUCUCACUGCAAGAAACAGCCACCUUUUGUCGCCGCUAUUGCCUUGUUUUGUCGCCACUAUUACCUUUUACCGGCGACCUGUCGCCGCUAACGGGUCGUCGCUAUUGAUGGGUCGCUAUUGCCCUUUUUGUCGCCGCUAUUGAUGUCGUCGCCGCUAUUGCCCUAUAGCCGGAGUUUUGCCUGAAAAGAGAUUGUUUCAGUGCUCCAAAUGUGCCAAAAUGUUGGCAAUAUCAACUGCUGUUCAUCAAAUAUAUGUAAUCAAUACAAAAAAAAUAAACUCUGCAAAUCAUAUAUA